UACGUAUGGGGCAAGCGUUAUCCGGAGUUAUUGGGCGUAAAGAGUGCGUAGGUGGUUACCUAAGCGCAAGGUUUAAUCUUGAGGCUCAACCUCAUUCUGCCUUGCGAACUGGGCUACUUGAGUGCAGGAGGGGAAAGCGGAAUUCCCAGUGUAGCGGUGAAAUGCGUAGAUAUUGGGAAGAACACCGGUGGCGAAGGCGGCUAACUGGACUGUAACUGACGCUGAGGCGCGAAAGUGUGGGGAGCAAACAGGAUUAGAUACCCCGGUAGUCCCUGAG
rnacentral:rRNA from 1 species